CAUUUAAUUGUUGAGUUUUCAAGUACAUCUUGAUGAAGAACCUCACAAUUAGAAUACUUAAACAGUACGUUUUUAAAUUUAGGAUAUAAUCUAAAAAAAAAAAAGAAAGCCAAAACAAUCCUUCGAGAUAAGGAGAAAUAAUAACGUUAUAUUGUUUGAAUAGAAUUUCUAUUGAUUUCGAUUAAAUAUAUGUAUAUGAUUCUUGAAGAAGACUUUCAAGAUCAAAAUAUCAGAUGAAAGGUGAUUGACGAGAUAAAUGAAAAGAUCGAAAGACAAUCGUAAAUGUUGUAAAGGAGAUCAGCGAUGCAUUCUGGGUCCAGUGAUGGUUAAGGCUGAUGGUGAGAAGGUAGCUUCGACCGAGUGAUUCUCCGCGCCGGCAACCGGAGAGACCUUUUUCUCUCCGCGCGCGUGCACGAGCGGCAGGCGCGCGUGUAAGAGCACCCGCUGCCUGGUUGGCGCGCGUUCGUUCGUCUGAUGCUUAAUACCGGUUUCACGGCUUGAUAAGCCGAAGCGUGUAAUUUUGCACCGGCUCCGGAGUCGGAUAAGCACCAGGUUUUCUAGUUAAGUGGACCACAAAAUUCGGGGAAGCCUAUAUAAGGCUUUUCGAGGAAGAAGGCGAUCAGUCGAGCCACGGAGCUCACCGUCGCAGCAUCGUCCUCGAGCAUAUCGGAUCUUUUGCCCUUAUUUUUUCUCUCCAUCUCUUUUUCUUCUUCUUUUUAUUCUUCUUCAAUAUAUUCUUCCUGAACACCCUUUGACUCUGGUGAAAAUAGUUCGACGAAUGGAAAAGGAACUAAUACAUCAUUGCUUAGAUAUUUAGUUAACAAAUUUUUUCUAAUCAUUUCAGCAUGUUUUCCCCUAGAGAUCUUUUAGUGAUUUUUUUGUAUGGAUUUAUAUUCAUUCGAUAUAUUCAAUACAUUUACGUUCGAUCAUCGUCUCGAUCGCCGUAGUAUUAUUCGAAGAAUUUGAGUUACGAUGAAAACACGUUGUCGUACUUACAUGUUCAGUUAGUACAAAAGUUAUUACGAAAUUCAGUACUUUGAGCGAUAUUUCUGAGCAAACUUUCGCGAACGUCGAAGGUAAAUCUUUAAUUAGAACGCGAUGAAAGUUAGCGUGUUCGUAAAAAGAAAAAGAAUGUUAUUUCAAAUUUGAUUUGCCAUUCUAUGUUUAACGAAAUUUUUCGUAUAUUUUUUUAAGGAAAAAAUUGUAAUUUAGUAAGGCGUACUGGAAAAAAAUUGAUUAAGAUUUUUAAAAGCUUAUCAAAUCAUUUCAUUUCUUCUUUUUAUGUAUGAGUGAUGAAUUAUCGAAAAUUUUAUGAAAAUGAAAUGUAAAAAGAGCGACGAAAUAAAACGAGGAAGAGAAAUCGAAAAAUCGUGGAUCAAGAGGACUCGGAGCUAACGGGGGACUCGGAGAACGUAAAAGGGAUCCUGAAAUUCGGCGAAGAGUGUAACAUGCGAAAGAGAAAAAUCGGAUAUUCGGUCGUCAAGUAGUCGACAAUGUUGAAGAAGAAGAAGACGAAGAGUAAGAGGAAAAAGAGGAGUAGGAAGAGGAGGAGGUCGAGUGACGUUGACGUUAUUCGGCAUGAAGCGACGUACGUCGGGUAAGCGCGAGAAUGCAAGCCAGGUGGUUUGAAGGCUCUUCAGGUCAAACGAGUGGAGCUACUGGUGUAGAGGAUGGGACGGAAAGAAGAAAAGGGUGGCUGAAAGGAGGGAAAUGCGGGAGGGGGACGAUAGAGUAGAUAGACGAAUGGAAUGAGGAAGAGAAGAAGGAGAAGGAGAUGAAGGAGGAGAAGGAAGAGGAGAAGGAAGAGGAGAAGGAAGAGGAGAAGGAAGAGGAGAAGGAAGAGAGGAAGUAAAAGAAAGAGGAGGGAAUGGAAGAGGAAAGAGAAUGUAGACAGGAAGGAUGUUCGUCAAGUGCCAUCGACUUAACUUGUACCAUGGCAGAACGAGCACGAGUCCAUGUGCUCCUCUAAGGCUGAAGAGUAAGAGAGAGAGAGAGAGAGAGAGAGAGAGAGAGAGAGAGAGAGAGAGAGAGAGAGAGAGAGAGAGAGAGAGAGGAAGACCGAAGCAUGCCGGCAUAAUAAGCUUUGUGCGCGACUGUCGAGAGAUUCCUCUCUCGCGGAGAGCUGAAGAGUUGCUGAGAAGUAGAAGAGCUGUAGUUGCGGUAGCAAUAGCAGCAGCAACGGCAGCAAUGGGCGAACGGCUCAGCCUUUGCCCUCUGACUCCCACCGGAUGAGGAGGAAGAAGAGAAAUAAGAGAAGCCAAAAGAAAAGUCGACCAUCCGUCGAAUACGAAAGAUGCGAAUCCGUUUCGUCUUUUCUGCUCCAAUCUUACCUUUCUCUUUUUACUUCCUUCUUUAUUUUUAAUUACGAAUUACUCCCAAAAGAAAAAAAAAAGAAAAACUGAGGAGCUAAUUACCUUGGAUGGUUUAAUCGGCCCGACCUAGAAUUCUUGUUUCUUUUGCAUAGAAAAAGGAAAAAAGGUAAUGACAGUAGAAAGCCCGUUGACUUAAAGACGUCAUCUACAUUCGCGACACUUCGUUUAUGUUUUAGUCGGAAUCGGGUUAUAUGGUUGAAGAAAGAUUAUUAUAGUUCUUUUGAAGAAAAAUUUAUUUUUAACGUUCAAGCGACAAUUGGGGACUCUAGUAAAAUCGACUUUGGUUGACUUUGGCCGUGAAUACGUGUCUAUAGAGUAUAUACUGAACAGGGCUGUAAGUGGGUUAAAGGCACUAGUUGUGUAGAGGGUAAAGUGCAUAGUUUGCUUGCGCUCGAAAACAACGGAGAGUGGAUCGCCUAACGAAGUGUAUUUGCUGCGAGCCCACGGGAACGAAAUAUGGGGAGCGAGCGGGAGCCAAAGGAAAACGUAAUCCGGGAUAAGUCGUUAACAGUUGACUCAUUCUCCUCUUCGAGCUAAAGGAUAUCUAGACACUCCGAGCCCUCACUCGUUUGUUCCCAGAGCGGCCUUUCGUUCGUAACGAAACAAAGGAUGCGCGCGCGAAUUUCCAGCAGUUUAUAUGUAUACGUAUAUACGUUAUAUGUUUAUAUACAUAUAUAUAUACAUGUAUAUAUAUAUAUAUAUGUAUGUAUAUACAUAUAUAUACAUGUACAUAUAUAUGUGUGUGUACCAUAUAUUUGCAUUUUGCGUAAACAUGCUGACAAAUAGUUACAGAUGAAUAUUUCACUCGAGAAAUAAUGGGAACUCUCGAUCUGGUUAUAAAACAAACCGCGCGAGACUAGUAUAAUAAUCCUAUCUCGAUCUCAGCUCAUAAUAAUUCCAGUUUAUCUCUUCGUAUUGGUCUUAUUACUAUGUGGUUUAAAGAAGAUCGUUAUCAUCUACGAAUUUACGCGUUUAUUAAGAUCGAUUAACCUUUUGAUUGCGAGCCGUUCUAAGCUGAAGCGCUUCAUGUAAGCAACAUACGGCCCGUGGAUGCGAUUGCUAGAGACAUACAAAUGAGACAAUAGUAAACAACUAAAACCUUAGCUGGGUGCAUAUAUGCAUCCAUAGCAGUUAAAGGAUUAAAGAAAACAGAAAAAAGAAAGUAAUAAAAAAGAUAUGAAAUAAUAUUGGAACUGGAACGAUGAAUUCGUCAAUGCAUACGAUUAAUGUGUAUUCCUUCCGAAAAAGAUACGAUUACUUGUUAUUUAUAAUACGAAUAUUCUCUCGAAACAACGUGUAAAUUAACGCGAAAAACUGAAUUCAAAAUUAAAGAGAGCCGAAAUUAGAUUUGUGCAAAACGAAGUAUCCUAACGAAUAAAGGCAUGCAGGAUGCAUAGUAAAAUGAGAAGAAAGACAAAGACAAAAGAAAAAAACGGAUAGAAUUUUCACACUAAUUUAGCAUAUAUCGAUUAAAAGCAUUCUUCUUUCGUUUCUUUCUAGCGUCUCUCUUUGGCUCAAUUCGACAAAGAACAGUCGAACCUGUGGAAAUCCUGUCUCCGGUCCGUACGGUUAGUCCGUAGUAAGAGCGAGUGAGAGAACGGAAGAGAAAGAGAGGGAGAAUGAGGGAGGGGUGGAAGCAUGGGUACACGAACGAGGUGGUUCGAAAAGGGGUAGGAAGGAAGAGGGAUGGAGCACUCGUUGAUUUCCCGUUUUCAUAUUCAAUAUGAUCUGUCUCGGCAUUGUAUUCAUUGAAAACGAGUCAACCGCAUGCAAGAUCAGGAACCGGGCGCCAGAAACGAGAGUGGAUCAUGGAAGCUCUCGGUCUCUUUCUCUCUCUCUCUCUCUCUCUCUCUCUCUCUCUCUCUCUUUCCCUCUCUCUCUCUUUCCUUCCCUCUUACUCAUUCGCUCUCUCUCUCUCUCUCUUUCUCUCUCUCCUUUCAACGUUGGCAAUGAUGGUGAUGCUAGUGGUAGUGCCGCCACUGACGACGACGGUGUUGGUAAUGGUGGAUAGGUCGUUGCGGUGGUUGGAUGGAUGGUUAGUUGGUAGGUAGGUUGGUUGGCUGGCUGGUUCUCUACUCCAACUAAUGAAAGGAGACUCGUAGUAGGGUCCGUAGGUUGCUUGCUUGGCUGAGGUUUAAAGUCGAUGUGUCCUCUUCACGGUGGAUCAUGGCGAGAGCACGAACGAGAGAAGAGGUUGGGCAAAGUAGUGCAGGAACCGAAAUGAGAGCGAGAAAGACCUGGAGAUGGAGAUGGAUGUUUCGAGGAAGAAUCUCCCUACAUCUCACUCACGUAGAUAUCUUUUGAGAUUCGCACGAGAUUUCUGGAUGGGUGGAGUUCGCAAUGUGGGCUCGUGUAUUUAGAAAGUCGAAACUGAGUUCGGAAUUCUCGUAUCUUUACAACAAAGUUUACUUUAAGAAUGAUUGAUGAAGAUCGUUGAAUUAUUAAAAUGUAUGGAAAAUAUAAUGAUUAUUUUUAUAAAUGAAUGUCAAAGGUAAAAUUCAAUUAUUCGAGAAAUAAAUUUAAUAAUAACAUAAAUGACUAAAAAGGAGAACGUGACGUGAGACUUGCAAAUAUCGAUUGCGAUAUUUUAAAUCGAUAAUUUGAUCUUUUACUUUAUGAAAAGCAACUAACAAUAUUAAAAA